AGUCUACAAAACCCCACAGCUCCUAAGAAUUCUCUCACCUGCCUUCUGCCCUUAAUUUCCGGUAGAUUGCAAAUAACCUGCUUUCUUUCUGUUCCCGAGCUGCGUUCGGACCCGUCGGAUCGUAAAUCCCACAUAAGGUACCUGCCGUCAGAAGAUUUGAACUCUCUACUUGGACACCUAAUACCCACAGUCCUCCAGCUGCGUUCGGACCCGUCGGAUCGUAAAUCCCAUGUAAGGUACCUGCCGUCGGAAGAUUUGAUCUUUCUACUUGGACACCUAAUACCCACAGUCCUCCAGCUGCGUUCGGACCCCUGUCGUAUUGUAAAUCCCACGCAAGGUACCUGCCGUCGGAAGAUUUGAGCUUUCUUCUUGAACACCUCAUACCCACAGUCCUCCAGACAGAAGGACAACAGUCUUCCCUGACAAGCCAGAGAACAGCGAUAAAGCCACCAGCCUUGGGAUCAGGACUGAAAAGGCAAGAGUGAUGGAGAUUUCUCCUGCGCUAAGCCAAGAGAAGGUUUCAGCACCUCAGACAGCUCCCACCGAAGUAGCGGCGCUCCCAGCUGCUUGCAGAUGUGGAAAAGGAAAGCCUCGGUUUGUCUUGAGGUUGUCAGCAGUUGCAAGACACGUAAUAAAAUGCAAUGUGUUCCUAA
ensembl:lncRNA novel transcript